UUUAUUAGUUUAAACCCACAUAAAGGGGUUCAAGCCCGUAAAUUAAUCUAAUUUUAUUACAUCAAGACCAAAGAGGAUGUAUACGCCCUCAUCCAUAAAUAAUACCCAAAUACAAACAAACCCUAUUUUUAAUUUGUUCAAGCCCGAAAAAAAAAACAAAAAGAAAAAGAAAAAGGAAAAAAAUAACUCACGACUGCAGCACAACUGCCGCCGCCAGACUGCCGCGAUGCCGACCAGUGAGACUUCCACCGCGCCGGCGAUGACCAGCGACCCACCCACCGCACCACCACCAACAAGUAAGUCAUUUUUACUAAACUUUCUUUUGUAAAUUCGAAAAUAUUAAUCAAGCAUCGAUUCUUGAUAAAUAUGCGUGGAUGAACAUUAAUAUAUGCUUAUUUCAUGUUGGUUGCAAUGCUUUAGCCGAUUUUGGAAAAAUAAUUGAGAUUGAAAUUGGUUUUUUCGUGUGUUUUCAUUGGUUUCCCAAAUCGGUUUACCCAUGCCAAUUUUGUACACGAAAACCGGGCUCAUGAUGCCGAUUUUUGUUAACCAAAUCGGCGACACAACGUCGACUUUACAAGUCAAAAUCGGCGUUGUAAUGUCGAUUAUGGAGUACAAAAUCGGUUUUCGGAUACCGAUUUUUUUUUCGUUUUUUUUCUUUUUAAAAAAAAAUAUAUAUAAUAUAAUUGGUCAUCAAUUGAUUAUUUUUAAAUAUUUUGCCGUGGAACCUGAACCUCUUCGUGAAUGUUUGGUGUGUAUUUGAUAAUUUUGGUGUGUAGGAUUUCUUGGUGGGUUUGUGAAGAAGAAGGAGAAGGAGGAGGAGAUUU
rnacentral:lncRNA from 1 species